rnacentral:rRNA from 1 species
AACGAACUCUUCGGAGUUAGUGGCGGACGGGUGAGUAACACGUGGGAACGUGCCUUUAGGUUCGGAAUAACUCAGGGAAACUUGUGCUAAUACCGAAUGUGCCCUUCGGGGGAAAGAUUUAUCGCCUUUAGAGCGGCCCGCGUCUGAUUAGCUAGUUGGUGAGGUAAUGGCUCACCAAGGCGACGAUCAGUAGCUGGUCUGAGAGGAUGAUCAGCCACAUUGGGACUGAGACACGGCCCAAACUCCUACGGGAGGCAGCAGUGGGGAAUCUUGCGCAAUGGGCGAAAGCCUGACGCAGCCAUGCCGCGUGAAUGAUGAAGGUCUUAGGAUUGUAAAAUUCUUUCACCGGGGACGAUAAUGACGGUACCCGGAGAAGAAGCCCCGGCUAACUUCGUGCCAGCAGCCGCGGUAAUACGAAGGGGGCUAGCGUUGCUCGGAAUUACUG